UUUCUCUUCCGGGGGCACCGUUGCUACACAUCCUGGAAUUAAAGGCUGAAAGCAAUGAUAGGCCACUUGAAUUUGGGGUCUUGGUGGAUGGAGACUACCUUCUCAUCCAAAGAUGUGGCCAUCAAGGAGAAGUCUUUCCCAUCGUAAAUAUCCAAGGGUGUGACUGAGCCAUCACUGAACUGGACCCAGCAACUGAUGGCUGCUUCCUAUGGAGAAAAAUAUCUAAACAAUGAAUGGUCUGGAAGCGAUCUCCCGCCACAGG
rnacentral:lncRNA from 1 species